rnacentral:lncRNA from 1 species
CUGUUAGGUACAGUCGAUAGAGCAGAACCUUCCAACGCACCCAGGCCCACCUGGGUCCCCUUGCCCGCCGAAAACUGGUCACAAAAAUUUACCUAGGAGCAUCCGUCGAAAUCGUCAAAAGCUGAUUUUUCGACUAAAUGUGUUACAGAGAGAAAUCGCCAUUACUUGCGGAAAGCUAUUAUAGGGGCUGGGGCACUCUUUGGUUAGUGUUCCACGAAAAAUUCUUUGUAAGAAACCCGAUUUAGAAGAAAAGGCGAAGCGGAACAGGACGAAAUGGGACGGGAUAAGAACGGACGGGUCGGGAUAUGUACCUCCUUUGAAGGUUCGGUUGUGGCCCUAAACCGAGACCUUCCUGGAAAAUCGGCUAAUGCAACCAACCGUCUGUUUCGCACGUACGAAUUAUACCUGAUCGCCAUCAAUUCCAUUUGGUCCCGCCUUAUAUUUGCAGCCCGAAUUCUCGGAGGUAGUUUCACAAUACAAUCACUUUUUUUAAGAACCCAUUAUUUCGCGGUAAAAUUUAGUGAAUAAUUUCAAAUUUAAGACAUUGUUUUUUUUUAUCAUUAUUGAUGGUAAAUCUCGCUGGUAUGGACGCCUGAUUUUAGCGCUAUUUAAAUCUGGCCGACACACGUUAUCUCAACUUUUAUGCAUCAGAUCAAAAAAAAAAAAAAAAAAAACAGAUUAUCAAAACUUGCACUUGUCGCUAUCGUUUGAACACCAUCAAAAUUAUCUAUCAAUAUUUAAUGCAUUGUUUCAAGGAUUUAAGUUGAACAAAAGAGGUCGAAUAUUCAAAAUGUCCGUGCCAUUUCGUACUUCUUUUUAGACAGACAAGUUCACUUUUCGAUAAUCUUUUUGUGUUUUUUUCCGUACCAACGAGAUUUACCAUCAAAAACGAAGAAAAAAACUUUCCGUAUUGCUUUGUAACUUCCUAUUUUGUGUGUAAAAAAUCGGAAAUUAAUUAAUAACUUCUAAUGUGAAAAAAUAAGUUAUUAAAAAAAGUUAUUGAGAUGUAAAACCACCUCGUUGAUCAAAUGAUUACUCAUUCCUUGAUUGAAUCUGAUUUAUUGUCGCAUAUUACCCGAAAUCUUUUAAUUUAUCGUGUAUAGCUAUUCUCUGUCGAGCGGAAAAAUUCCAAGCUAGAUCUGUAGAUGGAAAUUGGUAGGAAACUGCGUCGUAGCGAACUUUCACUGCAGGAACGACGGGGGAGGCAGAGAGUCCUACAGAUACUCAAAUAUACAGGGUGACUCAGAAGUAUAAUCGCCCCCACAAGUUACCAAUAUAUUUCUCCUAAAAAUAUGCGACUGAAACGUUCUUUAUUACUUCCGAUAAGGAAUUUUCAAGACAAGACAUCCAUCGUCGAAACGAUACCCUAUAAUCCAGAAAGGUGUCUUUCAAUUAUUCCUAAGAGAUGCCUGAAAGAUACCGAAAAAAUAGCGGAUGCAACAUUUUUCGACGGACGUCUCUAAGGUGUCAUUCGUUUGCAAUUAUCUUCUGUUAUACAACAAUUUCCCAACACAGAUCGGCACAUGAAAUAUAUAUUAUGGCUCGAGUUCGUUUAAUUUGAGGUCAAAUAUGUCCCCCAUAGCAUUGGUUCAUGUCGAUAUAGGUUGGAAAAUUUUUGUAAGAUGAACGCAGAAUCAUAUAUAAAUUGACAAAGGCUAGGUAUGCAGCAAUGAAUUAUGACGGUGUGUGGAACACCUAUAUUGGUGUUCAUUGACUAAGGAUACUGAACUACUCAAUCGAUACAGACACUUCUUAAUCGCACUUGCUCAUUUUAUUGUUGAAUGGUUCGUAGAUCGCAGUAAAACAAAUUAUUGAAACAUGCUGACUACGGAUGGCGAUGCCUAAGAUGGCGUCGGCCAGACUUCUGAGUGCGCGCCGUGCAUUAUACAAUUUGUUUUAUUCGAAAUGUUGAUCCAUCUGACGGUACCCUGAUGAAAAAUGAUUUCUACGAUUUUCAACGAAUUUUUAGGGAAAUUGGUACAUUUCGCACAAUUUUGUACAAAAAAUUGUUUUCGUACAAAAUUGCAAAUAUGCAUAGUUUCUCAUAAAAACUUGUAGAUUUUCCUGAAAGUUUAUAUUUUUUCAGUAAAAAACCUACAAGAUGCUAUAAUUCUUAACAAAAGUUAACAACUAUUUACGAUAAACUAUGUACAUUUACAAUUUUUUACGAAAUAAUAUGAAACGUUUCGUUUCUGUAAAAAUUCGUCGUAGUAGAAAUUUUCACCAGGGUGAGCUUCAAGCGUAUAAAAUAUAUAGGGUUUUUAAAGACGUCUUUUCGACGGAUUAAAAUCGAUGUCUUAUAAAGUUGUCCAAGUAAGAAACCUUUACGCAACGUCUUUUUGAUUUGCCUAAAGGACGUCUGAAAGAUUACUUUACGAUAUGUGUGUCUCCUGGGUUGUCGUUUGCGAAUUACAGCUGUUUGAAAUUGGUUGUAUCCGGAAGCACCUGAUGGCUAAGAACAAGACUAGCGGAUCGUCAUUCGAGGAUGAAGAAUUAGAAGAAUCUAUAAGUGCCAUUUUCUUCUCCAUAAGUAUGUAUAAACGAAGCUCAGUAUUUUCUGAAGAAAGUAAUAACAAUAAAAAUAAUUUCAAUACAAAAAUAAAUUUAAAAAAUGGCAGUCAGUCUUUUCUAAUUCUCUUCUUCAUUUCAGCUUGAUGUUCUCGACAACUGUUCUGAGCACCAGAGAAGACACUCGGAAGCCAUAUUGAUUCCAACCUUUCUGUGCGCGUGUGUGUGCGAAAAUGAUUCGAAUUUUCCCGCCAUUUAGAUGCCUUCAGACCAUGGCGUGUCAGUAUAAAAACCGUCAGAGGUUCUCCUUACAACUGUCUCCCCUGGUUAUAUCCUGAGCCAUUAGAUGCUGCCGGAUCGGCCAAUUUCAAACGGCAAUAAUUCGAAAGCAAUAGAUUUCCUAUUAGAAGUAAAAACCGUUUCGGUCGUAGAGUUUUAGGAGAAUAUGAGGCGAUAAUUCCAGGUCACUCUGUAUGCAGAGAGCUGGAAGGGAGGGAGAGAGAGAGAAAAAAUGAAGAACAGAGCAGGAUCCUGGAUGGUGGUAUUAGUAUAUACCUCUAUAUAUAUUGGACAGCUGUAUCUAUAUGUCACAUACAAAGGUCCAUAGAAGCGGCUAGAUCACCGUGUGUGCAACAUGCGAAGAUUCCUAGGAAAUUUAGAAUGUUUCACGUGUCAUUUCUUCGCGUAUUGACAAUUUGGUGCAUAUUGCAAGUUCUAGUCCGUUCGUACAUCCGCCUUAUCAUAUGCAGCAGGAUAAAAUAUCACUAGAAUUCAGUAUUACUGUUUAUCGUAGAACAAAAAUAUGAAUUGUUAUUAUAAACAAUUAUAUUUGAAGUAAUGUAUUCACG